rnacentral:tRNA from 1 species
GCGGGUAUAGUUUAGUGGUAAAACGAAAGCUUCCCAAGCUUUAGUUGAGAGUUCUUACUGGACAACCGCU